AUGGUGAUACAUUCACAUACAUUAGUUCAGAGCUCAACUCUACAGCAAGUAACCACUUCCUUUUUUGUGGCUCCUCCUCAGAUACCAAUAAAGCUGACAGUAAAGUUCAGGUCUGUUUCUCUCUGUCUGAUGAUCAUGAUGCUCACGAUAAACCAAGCAGCACUGCUCUUCGUUCAGCUGUUAGUGGUGUGGCAUGUCUUUGCAGAGAUCGCUAAAGACGACCACAGAGCUGUGCUGGUGUCCAGAGGAGACUCAGUGACGCUGACUUGCAACAUAUCCAAGACAAAUGCAACAUUAAUCACCUGGACCAACAACAGAUCUGUUUUUAAAUAUUCCAUUGUGCUGAAUCGCACCUAUUCAAAUUUCUCAUUGCAUAGACUGAAAAUAAAUCAUGAGCUAAUUAUUUUUAGUGCUCAGCCUGAAGAUGAAGGACUUUAUACAUGUAGCAUAACAGAGAGACGUGGUGUAAACAGCAUUACAUGGAAUUUAACUGUGUCUGAGAACCCAGAAGAACCCACUUCAUCAAAAUAUUUUCUACACAUACUCCCACCUGCAAUUGGAUUGCUUCUGUGUUGCAUCACACUGGCUGUCUUACUCUACAGAAAAAUCAUGAUGAUGAAACUAAAUCAGGAUGCAGUCCGGGAUCAGAUUCCUCCUCAGUCAGGAGAAGAGACAUCUCUCCCUCAGCCACAGGGUGGCAGCACUGAUUGUAAAAACAACAGGCAGAGGAGUCGGUAUAUGGAGAGACUGAAUUCAAUCUAUGAUCACUUCUCAACUGAAAAACCUUCCAGUUCCUGACAGACAUGAACAGUGUCAGAGCAGAAACUGCAAGGGAACGCCAUCCGAGGGAGGACACCCGGGCUAUAAUAGCCUCAGCUUCAGCUCAGACAAAUGACCUGAACCCCCCCCCCCCCCCCCCCCGCACUGUCCCCACUGGAGAUGCACUGUUCUACACAGGUCUGAACCCCCUUAGCCAGAUCAUUAACAAGACCGGCUAGGGAUACCAACUACACAAUCAAGCAAUCAUCAGCCACCACCUCUACAUGGAUGACAUCAAGCUGUAUGCCAAGAGUGAACGAGACAUAGACUCACUGAUCCAUACCACUAGGAUAUACAGCAAUGACACUGUGAUGUCAUGCGGACUGAAGAAGUGUAGUGAGGUGGUAACAAAGAGAGGGAAAGCAGUCAGAACUGAGCGAACUGCACUAGUAGAAGACAACAAUGCAGACAUCAAGCACAGCUACAAGUCCAUCCAUACCAUGCAUGGAGGGUUUCACCAUAUCCUGAGAUUGUACACUAAGCAGAAUGAAGGAGACUAAUGAGUGUCAGUGUCAUUAUUGCUUUACUCUGCAGAAAAAUUAUGAUAAGGACACUGAAUCAGGAUCAGUUUCUCCCUCAGUCAAGACAAGAGGUUAGAAGAUCGUCAUCAUCUUUGAUACUCUCAAAUUUGUUUACUUUAUUCUCUAUCUCAGAGUCAGCACCAAAUUUAUUUGAGCCUUUUGUCUUUAUAGGUAAGUAUAUUUAUUUAUACAUGAUUUCAAGCUCUCUGAACCAUUUUCCAACAAAAAACACUCAGGUAAUUCAGACCUCCACCAAGGCAGGUCACUCUCUGUGCAGUAUUUUAGGGAAUAGUGUUGUAUUUUGUAUUCAUUAAUUUGGUUUUCUUUGUUGCUUUUAAGCAUUUUUAAAGAAGUUUCACUGCAGAAAUAAUUAAGUGUAAAGUGCAGACUUUUGCUCUUCGCCCAACAGAAAUACUUUUUAAUAUGCGUGCCAUAAUUUUGAGUAUAAUAAUAAUAAUUUUUUAUUGUUCAUUAAUGUGGAUGUAGUGCAUUUUUGUUUAGUAAAAUUUCUUUAAAUAUUUAGUAAUAAUUAGCAAAUGAACAAAAGUUUUCUAUGUUAAUGUCCAUUUUUGGAGUUUAGCUAUUCUGUUUUUACAUUUUGUAUUUUUGUAUUGGUUUUCUUGUUUUUUUUUCUUUACGUCAGAGAGUGGUACAGACGAGUACAGAGCUGUGUUGUUGUCAAGAAGACACUUGGUGAUGUUGACUUGCAGCAUAUCCAAUAAAAAAAAUAAAACAAUAAUCUCUUGGAUUUUCAAUAUUUCCUUCUGCUAGAAUCACUGCAAAUAGACAGCGGUUAUAGUUAUUUCUCCUACAGCAUUCACUCUACCCCUCUAAAUGUACUUGAAAUGAGAGGAGUAAGAACACAGAAUUAAUUUGACUGCAAUCUGCUAUCUACUGACAUCUAGUGGUGAGAUUACAGCUACACACUGUACCUUAAAUCAACCUCCCAAUAUUAAAGUGACUGUUUAAGA
rnacentral:lncRNA from 1 species